UAGGGAAUCUUCCGCAAUGGACGAAAGUCUGACGGAGCAACGCCGCGUGAGUGAUGAAGGUUUUCGGAUCGUAAAACUCUGUUGUUAGGGAAGAACAAGUACCGUUCGAAUAGGGCGGUACCUUGACGGUACCUAACCAGAAAGCCACGGCUAACUACGUGCCAGCAGCCGCGGUAAU
rnacentral:rRNA from 1 species